GUUAUAUGGUCAAGUGAAGAAGCGCAUACGGUGGAUGCCUUGGCAGUCAGAGGCGAUGAAAGACGUGGUAGCCUGCGAAAAGCUUCGGGGAGUCGGCAAACAGACUUUGAUCCGGAGAUCUCUGAAUGGGGGAACCCACCUAGGAUAACCUAGGUAUCUUGUACUGAAUCCAUAGGUACAAGAGGCGAACCAGGGGAACUGAAACAUCUAAGUACCCUGAGGAAAAGAAAUCAACCGAGAUUCCCUUAGUAGUGGCGAGCGAACGGGGAUUAGCCCUUAAGCUUCAUUGAUUUUAGCGGAACGCUCUGGAAAGUGCGGCCAUAGUGGGUGAUAGCCCCGUACGCGAAAGGAUCUUUGAAGUGAAAUCGAGUAGGACGGAGCACGAGAAACUUUGUCUGAACAUGGGGGGACCAUCCUCCAAGGCUAAAUACUACUGACUGACCGAUAGUGAACCAGUACCGUGAGGGAAAGGCGAAAAGAACCCCGGAGAGGGGAGUGAAAUAGAACCUGAAACCGUAUGCGUACAAGCAGUGGGAGCCUACUUGUUAGGUGACUGCGUACCUUUUGUAUAAUGGGUCAGCGACUUAUAUUCAGUGGCAAGCUUAACCGUAUAGGGUAGGCGUAGCGAAAGCGAGUCUUAAUAGGGCGUUUAGUCGCUGGGUAUAGACCCGAAACCGGGCGAUCUAUCCAUGAGCAGGUUGAAGGUUAGGUAACACUGACUGGAGGACCGAACCCACUCCCGUUGAAAAGGUAGGGGAUGACUUGUGGAUCGGAGUGAAAGGCUAAUCAAGCUCGGAGAUAGCUGGUUCUCCUCGAAAGCUAUUUAGGUAGCGCCUCAUGUAUCACUCUGGGGGGUAGAGCACUGUUUCGGCUAGGGGGUCAUCCCGACUUACCAAACCGAUGCAAACUCCGAAUACCCAGAAGUGCCGAGCAUGGGAGACACACGGCGGGUGCUAACGUCCGUCGUGAAAAGGGAAACAACCCAGACCGCCAGCUAAGGUCCCAAAGUUGUGGUUAAGUGGUAAACGAUGUGGGAAGGCUUAGACAGCUAGGAGGUUGGCUUAGAAGCAGCCACCCUUUAAAGAAAGCGUAAUAGCUCACUAGUCGAGUCGGCCUGCGCGGAAGAUGUAACGGGGCUCAAACCACACACCGAAGCUGCGGGUGUCACGUAAGUGACGCGGUAGAGGAGCGUUCUGUAAGCCUGUGAAGGUGAGUUGAGAAGCUUGCUGGAGGUAUCAGAAGUGCGAAUGCUGACAUGAGUAACGACAAUGGGUGUGAAAAACACCCACGCCGAAAGACCAAGGGUUCCUGCGCAACGUUAAUCGACGCAGGGUUAGUCGGUUCCUAAGGCGAGGCUGAAAAGCGUAGUCGAUGGGAAACAGGUUAAUAUUCCUGUACUUCUGGUUACUGCGAUGGAGGGACGGAGAAGGCUAGGCCAGCUUGGCGUUGGUUGUCCAAGUUUAAGGUGGUAGGCUGAAAUCUUAGGUAAAUCCGGGGUUUCAAGGCCGAGAGCUGAUGACGAGUCGUCUUUUAGAUGACGAAGUGGUUGAUGCCAUGCUUCCAAGAAAAGCUUCUAAGCUUCAGGUAACCAGGAACCGUACCCCAAACCGACACAGGUGGUCGGGUAGAGAAUACCAAGGCGCUUGAGAGAACUCGGGUGAAGGAACUAGGCAAAAUGGCACCGUAACUUCGGGAGAAGGUGCGCCGGCUAGGGUGAAGGAUUUACUCCGUAAGCUCUGGCUGGUCGAAGAUACCAGGCCGCUGCGACUGUUUAUUAAAAACACAGCACUCUGCAAACACGAAAGUGGACGUAUAGGGUGUGACGCCUGCCCGGUGCCGGAAGGUUAAUUGAUGGGGUUAGCGCAAGCGAAGCUCUUGAUCGAAGCCCCGGUAAACGGCGGCCGUAACUAUAACGGUCCUAAGGUAGCGAAAUUCCUUGUCGGGUAAGUUCCGACCUGCACGAAUGGCGUAACGAUGGCGGCGCUGUCUCCACCCGAGACUCAGUGAAAUUGAAAUCGCUGUGAAGAUGCAGUGUAUCCGCGGCUAGACGGAAAGACCCCGUGAACCUUUACUGUAGCUUUGCACUGGACUUUGAGCCUGCUUGUGUAGGAUAGGUGGGAGGCUUUGAAGCGUGGACGCCAGUUCGCGUGGAGCCAUCCUUGAAAUACCACCCUGGCAUGCUUGAGGUUCUAACUCUGGUCCGUGAUCCGGAUCGAGGACAGUGUAUGGUGGGCAGUUUGACUGGGGCGGUCUCCUCCUAAAGAGUAACGGAGGAGUACGAAGGUGCGCUCAGACCGGUCGGAAAUCGGUCGCAGAGUAUAAAGGCAAAAGCGCGCUUGACUGCGAGACAGACACGUCGAGCAGGUACGAAAGUAGGUCUUAGUGAUCCGGUGGUUCUGUAUGGAAGGGCCAUCGCUCAACGGAUAAAAGGUACUCCGGGGAUAACAGGCUGAUACCGCCCAAGAGUUCAUAUCGACGGCGGUGUUUGGCACCUCGAUGUCGGCUCAUCACAUCCUGGGGCUGAAGCCGGUCCCAAGGGUAUGGCUGUUCGCCAUUUAAAGUGGUACGCGAGCUGGGUUUAGAACGUCGUGAGACAGUUCGGUCCCUAUCUGCCGUGGACGUUUGAGAUUUGAGAGGGGCUGCUCCUAGUACGAGAGGACCGGAGUGGACGAACCUCUGGUGUUCCGGUUGUCACGCCAGUGGCAUUGCCGGGUAGCUAUGUUCGGAAAAGAUAACCGCUGAAAGCAUCUAAGCGGGAAACUUGCCUCAAGAUGAGAUCUCACUGGGAACUUGAUUCCCCUGAAGGGCCGUCGAAGACUACGACGUUGAUAGGCUGGGUGUGUAAGCGUUGUGAGGCGUUGAGCUAACCAGUACUAAUCGCCCGUGAGGCUUGACCAUAUAACACCCAAACA
rnacentral:rRNA from 1 species